GACGAACGCUGGCGGCGUGCUUAACACAUGCAAGUCGAACGAAAAGGCCCUGCUUUUGUUGGGUUCUCGAGUGCCGAACGGGUGAGUAAAACGUGAGUAACAUGCCCUUGACUUUGGGAUAACUUCAGGAAAAUGGGGCUAAUACCGGAUAGGAGCUCCUGCUGCAUGGUGGGGGUUGGAAAGUUUCGGCGGUUGGGGCUGGACUCGCGGCUUAUCAGCUUGUUGGUGGGGUUGGUGCUUACCAAGGCUUUGACGGGUAGCCGGCCUGAGAGGGUGACCGGCCACAUUGGGACUGCGAUACGGCCCAGACUCCUACGGGAGGCAGCAGUGGGGAAUAUUGCACAAUGGGCGGAAGCCUGAUGCAGCAACGCCGCGUGCGGGAUAACGGCCUUCGGGUUGUAAACCGCUUUCGCCUGUGACGAAGCGUGAGUGACGGUAAUGGGUAAAGAAGCACCGGCUAACUACGUG
rnacentral:rRNA from 1 species